rnacentral:rRNA from 1 species
UACGGGGGGGGCAAGCGUUGUUCGGAAUUACUGGGCGUAAAGGGUUCGUAGGUGGCUCGCUAAGUCAGACGUGAAAUCCCUCGGCUUAACUGGGGAACUGCGUCUGAGACUGGCAAGCUUGAGUGCAGGAGAGGAACGCGGAAUUCCAGGUGUAGCGGUGAAAUGCGUAGAUAUCUGGAGGAACACCGGUGGCGAAGGCGGGUCUCUGGGCAGUAACUGACGCUGAGGAGCGAAAGCGUGGGGAGCGAACAGG